AGAGUUUGUUAGGGGCUUGUAGGAUACAUGGAAAUGUAGAGAUGGGAGAGAGGGUAGCUGAUGCUUUGAUAGCAAUGGAGCCCUCUGAGUCAGGCUCAUAUGUGUUGAUGUCCAAUUUGUAUGCUGAGAAGGGACAAUGGGAAGACGUAGCAAAGUUACGAAAAGGGAUGAGAGAGAAGGGAGUGAAGAAGGAAGUAGGAUUUAGUUGGGUGGAUGUUGGUGAUGUUGAUGCAUCUUUAACUUUGCAUUCAUUUUCAUCAGGGGACAAGUCCCACCCACAAUCAGAGGAGAUAUAUAGGAUGGCAGAAUACUUGGGAUCAGAAAUGAAAUUUUUGAGAGAGAGGCAGCUUUUGAAUUAUAGCCUCAUGAAAGAUAGAAAUUUUAGAGCCCUCAAGAUGGGCCCAUAAUUUUGUAUUUGUAACAUUCAUAAAGUGAUUCAUAUGUUAAUUUAAGUUUGAAAAUUUAAGCUUGCAAUUGAUCAAAGGAACAUUCUUUUGAU
rnacentral:misc_RNA from 1 species